rnacentral:rRNA from 2 species
AUGGUUAAGUUAGAAAGGGCGCACGGUGAAUGCCUUGGCACUAGGAGCCGAUGAAGGACGGGACUAACACCGAUAUGUUUCGGGGAGCUGUAAGUGAGCUUUGAUCCGGAGAUUUCCGAAUGGGGAAACCCACUGUUCGUAAUGGAACAGUAUCUUUAUCUGAAUACAUAGGAUAUUGAAGGCAGACCCGGGGAACUGAAACAUCUAAGUACCCGGAGGAAGAGAAAGCAAAUGCGAUUUCCUGAGUAGCGGCGAGCGAAACGGAAUUAGCCCAAACCAAGAGGCUUGCCUCUUGGGGUUGUAGGACACUCUAUACGGAGUUACAAAGGAACGAAGUAAAUGAAGCGACCUGGAAAGGUCCGUCGAAGAAGGUAACAACCCUGUAGUUGAAACUUCGUUCCCUCUUGAGUGGAUCCUGAGUACGGCGGAACACGUGAAAUUCCGUCGGAAGCUGGGAGGACCAUCUCCCAAGGCUAAAUACUACCUAGUGACCGAUAGUGAACCAGUACCGUGAGGGAAAGGUGAAAAGCACCCCGGAAGGGGAGUGAAAGAGAUCCUGAAACCGUGUGCCUACAAGUAGUCAGAGCCCGUUAACGGGUGAUGGCGUGCCUUUUGUAGAAUGAACCGGCGAGUUACGAUCCCAUGCAAGGUUAAGCUGAUAAGGCGGAGCCGUAGCGAAAGCGAGUCUGAAUAGGGCGUUUAGUAUGUGGUUGUAGACCCGAAACCAGGUGAUCUACCCAUGUCCAGGGUGAAGUUCAGGUAACACUGAAUGGAGGCCCGAACCCACGCACGUUGAAAAGUGCGGGGAUGAGGUGUGGGUAGCGGAGAAAUUCCAAUCGAACCUGGAGAUAGCUGGUUCUCUCCGAAAUAGCUUUAGGGCUAGCCUCAUGUUGUGAGAGUCUUGGAGUAGAGCACUGAUUGGACUAGGGGCCCCCAACGGGUUACCGAAUUCAGUCAAACUCCGAAUGCCAAAGACUUAUCCAUGGGAGUCAGACUGCGAGUGAUAAGAUCCGUAGUCAAAAGGGAAACAGCCCAGACCACCAGCUAAGGUCCCCAAGUAUACGUUAAGUGGAAAAGGAUGUGGAGUUGCUUAGACAACCAGGAUGUUGGCUUAGAAGCAGCCACCAUUUAAAGAGUGCGUAAUAGCUCACUGGUCGAGUGACUCUGCGCCGAAAAUGUACCGGGGCUAAACGUAUCACCGAAGCUGUGGAUUGACAUCUUUGAUGUCAGUGGUAGGAGAGCGUUCUAAGUGCAGCGAAGUCAGACCGUAAGGACUGGUGGAGCGCUUAGAAGUGAGAAUGCCGGUAUGAGUAGCGAAAGACAAGUGAGAAUCUUGUCCACCGAAUGCCUAAGGUUUCCUGAGGAAGGCUCGUCCGCUCAGGGUUAGUCGGGACCUAAGCCGAGGCUGAAAAGCGUAGGCGAUGGCCAACAGGUUGAUAUUCCUGUACCACCUCCCCGCCGUUUGAGUAAUGGGGGGACGCAGUAGGAUAGGGUAAGCGCGCUGCUGGAUAUGCGCGUUCAAGCAGUUAGGCUGAUGAGUAGGCAAAUCCGCUCAUCAUGAAGGCUGAGCUGUGAUGACGAGGGAAUUAUAGUACCGAAGUUCCUGAUUCCACACUGCCAAGAAAAGCCUCUAGCGAGGCGGGAGGUGCCCGUACCGCAAACCGACACAGGUAGGCGAGGAGAGAAUCCUAAGGUGAUCGAGAGAACUCUCGUUAAGGAACUCGGCAAAAUGACCCCGUAACUUCGGGAGAAGGGGUGCUCUGGUAGGGUGUAUAGCCCGAGAGAGCCGCAGUGAAUAGGCCCAGGCGACUGUUUAGCAAAAACACAGGUCUCUGCGAAGCCGCAAGGCGAAGUAUAGGGGCUGACGCCUGCCCGGUGCUGGAAGGUUAAGAGGAGGGUUAUCCUUUGGGAGAAGCUCUGAAUCGAAGCCCCAGUAAACGGCGGCCGUAACUAUAACGGUCCUAAGGUAGCGAAAUUCCUUGUCGGGUAAGUUCCGACCCGCACGAAAGGCGUAACGAUCUGGGCACUGUCUCAACGAGAGACUCGGUGAAAUUAUAGUACCUGUGAAGAUGCAGGUUACCCGCGACAGGACGGAAAGACCCCGUGGAGCUUUACUGUAGCCUGAUAUUGAAUUUUGGUACAGCUUGUACAGGAUAGGUAGGAGCCUGAGAAGCCGGAGCGCUAGCUUCGGUGGAGGCGUCGGUGGGAUACUACCCUGGCUGUAUUGAAAUUCUAACCCGCGGCCCUGAUCGGGCCGGGAGACAGUGUCAGGUGGGCAGUUUGACUGGGGCGGUCGCCUCCUAAAAUGUAACGGAGGCGCCCAAAGGUUCCCUCAGAAUGGUUGGAAAUCAUUCGUAGAGUGUAAAGGCACAAGGGAGCUUGACUGCGAGACCUACAAGUCGAGCAGGGACGAAAGUCGGGCUUAGUGAUCCGGUGGUUCCGCAUGGAAGGGCCAUCGCUCAACGGAUAAAAGCUACCCCGGGGAUAACAGGCUUAUCUCCCCCAAGAGUCCACAUCGACGGGGAGGUUUGGCACCUCGAUGUCGGCUCAUCGCAUCCUGGGGCUGUAGUCGGUCCCAAGGGUUGGGCUGUUCGCCCAUUAAAGCGGUACGCGAGCUGGGUUCAGAACGUCGUGAGACAGUUCGGUCCCUAUCCGUCGUGGGCGUAGGAAAUUUGAGAGGAGCUGUCCUUAGUACGAGAGGACCGGGAUGGACACACCGCUGGUGUACCAGUUGUCUUGCCAAAGGCAUCGCUGGGUAGCUAUGUGUGGACGGGAUAAGUGCUGAAAGCAUCUAAGCAUGAAGCCCCCCUCAAGAUGAGAUUUCCCAUAGCGCAAGCUAGUAAGAUCCCUGAAAGAUGAUCAGGUUGAUAGGUCAGAGGUGGAAGCGUGGCGACAUGUGUAGCUGACUGAUACUAAUCGAUCGAGGACUUAACCAAAC